CGAUACGUUAUCUCUCUUUAUCCGCAUGAAGCGGAGUGAAUACGCAUGGCCGGACAAGUACACGUAUCCUUCUCUUAUAAGGUCGUGUUCGAAUGAGUGCAGAUUAAAGGAAGGUGAAAUAUUUCAUGGCUCGGCCAUAAGAUGUGGGGGUAGUAUGUUGGGUCUAGUUUGGUAGAUUUUUAUGGAAAAUGCAAGGAAAUAUUUUCUGCAAGAAAGGCGUUCGAUGAGAUGACUGAGAGGAACGUGGUUUCUUGGACGGCAAUAGUCGUUGGGUAUGCGAAUGUUGGGGAUAUGGAUAACGCGACGAGAAUGUUUGUUCAAAUGCCGGAGAGGAAUUUAACGUCGUGGAAUGCUAUGAUUGGUGGGUUGGUGAAAGCAGGAGAUUUGCGUACUGCUAGGAAAUUGUUUGAUGAAAUGCCUGAGAGGAAUGUUGUUUCUUUUACUGUUUUGAUUGACGGGUAUGCGAAGGUGGGGGAUAUGGCAUCUGCGAGGGCUUUGUUUGAGAAAUCUCCGGAGAGAGAUAUCAUUGCUUGGGGGGCG
rnacentral:misc_RNA from 1 species